rnacentral:rRNA from 1 species
GAGCGGCAGCGGGAGGAAGCUUGCUUCCUCGCCGGCGAGCGGCGGACGGGUGAGUAAUGUCUGGGGAUCUGCCCGAUGGAGGGGGAUAACCACUGGAAACGGUGGCUAAUACCGCAUAACGUCGCAAGACCAAAGUGGGGGACCUUCGGGCCUCACACCAUCGGAUGAACCCAGAUGGGAUUAGCUAGUAGGUGGGGUAAUGGCUCACCUAGGCGACGAUCCCUAGCUGGUCUGAGAGGAUGACCAGCCACACUGGAACUGAGACACGGUCCAGACUCCUACGGGAGGCAGCAGUGGGGAAUAUUGCACAAUGGGCGCAAGCCUGAUGCAGCCAUGCCGCGUGUGUGAAGAAGGCCUUCGGGUUGUAAAGCACUUUCAGCGAGGAGGAAGGUGGUGAGCUUAAUACGUUCAUCAAUUGACGUUACUCGCAGAAGAAGCACCGGCUAACUCCGUGCCAGCAGCCGCGGUAAUACGGAGGGUGCAAGCGUUAAUCGGAAUUACUGGGCGUAAAGCGCACGCAGGCGGUUUGUUAAGUCAGAUGUGAAAUCCCCGAGCUUAACUUGGGAACUGCAUUUGAAACUGGCAAGCUAGAGUCUCGUAGAGGGGGGUAGAAUUCCAGGUGUAGCGGUGAAAUGCGUAGAGAUCUGGAGGAAUACCGGUGGCGAAGGCGGCCCCCUGGACGAAGACUGACGCUCAGGUGCGAAAGCGUGGGGAGCAAACAGGAUUAGAUACCCUGGUAGUCCACGCCGUAAACGAUGUCGAUUUGGAGGUUGUGCCCUUGAGGCGUGGCUUCCGGAGCUAACGCGUUAAAUCGACCGCCUGGGGAGUACGGCCGCAAGGUUAAAACUCAAAUGAAUUGACGGGGGCCCGCACAAGCGGUGGAGCAUGUGGUUUAAUUCGAUGCAACGCGAAGAACCUUACCUACUCUUGACAUCCAGAGAACUUUCCAGAGAUGGAUUGGUGCCUUCGGGAACUCUGAGACAGGUGCUGCAUGGCUGUCGUCAGCUCGUGUUGUGAAAUGUUGGGUUAAGUCCCGCAACGAGCGCAACCCUUAUCCUUUGUUGCCAGCGGUUCGGCCGGGAACUCAAAGGAGACUGCCAGUGAUAAACUGGAAGGAAGGUUGGGGAUGACGUCAAGUCAUCAUGGGCCCUUACGAGUAGGGCUACACACUUGCUACAAUGGCCUUAUACAAAGAAAAACCGA